rnacentral:rRNA from 1 species
CUGCUGCCUUCCGUAGGAGUCUGGUCCGUGUCUCAGUACCAGUGUGGGGGACCUUCCUCUCAGAACCCCUACGCAUCGUCGCCUCGGUGGGCCGUUACCCCGCCGACUAGCUAAUGCGCCGCAUGGCCAUCCGCAGCCGAUGAAUCUUUAACCGCCGAGGGAUGCCCCUCUGCGGUGUUACGCGGUAUUAGACGGAAUUUCUUCCGCUUAUCCCCCUCGCUGCGGGCAGGUUCCAUACGUGUUACUCACCCGUGCGCCGGUCG